CGGGGUCAUGGGAGUCCGUGAAGACGUUCUGCACGAACAGGUUGGGCUGGCAGCUGUGCUGUGGGCGGAGCCAAAGGUCAGAGUCAGUCAGAGACCUGAAGCAGGAAGCUGGUUCAGCAGAUCCAGACUUUCUUUGGUCGUUGGCUAAACUAAACCUGAACCCAGUCAGAGGCAUCAGCAGGUGUUCAUCAGCGUUCUUAGUUAACAGGGUUUUCUUCUUCAGACUCUCAUUAAAAGAGGCGUUUAACGCAUCAUGUGACUCUCCUGCAGUGAAGGAGCCAAUCAGGUUCCUCCUGCUUCAGCCAGCAGCUUGUUCUCAUGAGAACAACAAGGAA